UGAUGCGGAAACGAGAGCGUGUUGUUCUAAAAAUAAAGCGAUUCGUUUUUUAUUUACUUUCCUCUUUCAACAGAUGUAGUGGUCCAACGUGGGAGCAUGGUCGCCGCCCACGCCACCAUCCACUCCGCCGCUGCUCAUCCCAGCUCAAACCCCUUCCUCCAUCUUAUUCUUCUAUGCUUCUCCGCCAUGGCGCCACGGACAUCGAUGGACAUAUCAACUUAGAGCUCAACGAACGAAUUAAUUGGGGAGAUAUCGAUGAAAGGUAAGUUCAAGAUCUAAUCCGGCCAAGCUCGUCUCUCCCGUCGCCUCCGCUCGGACGUCGCGCCUCCAGCCGGCAGCUGCAAGCCGGACAGCCAGCAAUCACGGUUUAGGAUUUAGAGAUUGGGCUGGGCUUUACUGGGUUUGGAGUUCUCUUCUCGUUUCUUGGGAUCAUCAUGCUGUUUGACAAGGGCUUCCUGGCAAUGGGGAAUAUUCUCUGCGCGUCUGGUGUUAUACUAACCAUUGGGCUGAACUCAACCGUACAGUUCUUCACGAAGCCUAAGAAUCACAAGGUCCUGUACAUGUAACCAUGCAAGCUCAUUCAUCUAUCCAAACUGUUAAGUUCCAAUUCAGUUAUGAGCUGACAAGAUUCACCUGAACGUCUGAUUGUUUCUUCUGCAAAAUUCACUGAAGGUGCUACUACUAAAUAGCUUUUUUCGGAGCUACGGAUCUUGAGGGGGUGAAGGCCAUGCUGGAGUCCUGGAAAGCCGCCGAGGAAAUUUCCUCGUCGCUUCUGCCGGUUUCGGCUGGCGCGUUGAGCUCGGGAGCGGCCAAUGGGAGGUAGACGCUGGUGGUGAGCCUAGAGAGUGGGACGGCGCAGGGGCUGAGUCCCUGCGGUGGAGCGCGGAGGUGUGGAACCUCUGUAAAUUGGAGAGCUCAAGUGGACGGCCGACAGGGUGGGCGGGGAGGGGCCGCGCC